GACGCAGGCCGAGCAAAGCUGCCGAGAAGAAAUUCCGCGUCUUCCAGGACUGGAAAGAAACAGCCCUCAGCGUCUCCACCUGAAAACACCCAGCCAGGUGUGUGGUGUUUCCACUAAGCCCACUGUUCUCUCAGGAGCUCCAGGUGGAAGACUUCACCAUCCUUCCGUGGAGAGAUAGAAGUGGACGGCACCAUUUGGAAAAGAACUCAGCACCUUAUCUUUGCCUGGAUUGCUUAAACAGCUAAAACAGCCUUUUAAAGAAGCAUAAUAUUGAAAACAAUCGUCCUAGUUCCCAUGUCUUAGACAUCCUCGUAAAUAUCUGCUGGGCAUGACCUCCUCUUCACAUGCCCCUUUCGGAGAGGGACUGAAACCUCCCCUUUCACAAAGAAGGAACAGCAGGCGGCAAACAGCAGAGCUGGGAUUUGAACUCAGGUCUCCCCAGCUGCAGGGAGGCAGGGCCAUUAACUUUAUACGGAAAGAUAUGCAUUUUAAAAUUGAAAACAAAGUAUGCAAAGAACUCAUGGAAAACCAGAGAGGAAACAAGGAGAUGACACGGAACAGCAAAAGAAGGACAGAUAAUAGAAAAUGCAAAAUCAGAAAAUAAAAAGUCUAUUUUA